UUGUUCUAGGUUUUUAAUUAGUAGCUAAAUUCUUUUUUUCUUCCUGGAAAAAAAACAGAACACAAACAAAAAAGAAGACAAAAAAAGGAGAGAUGACUGAUUAUGCAGUCACACCAUGACUGGAACCGACCAUGAACAAUACUUAUACUAUCAAUAUACCAAACAAUGGUUAUCAUAGCAGUCACUUUCCUCUCUCAUAUGUGCUUCAGUCUGGUAAUCUCUUUGGUCUAGUAUGCAGUUUUUUUUUCUUCAUCUAGCGUCACAGUGGAAAAGAGAAGUUCUUGUACUUCCAUUAUUUGGUAGUGUAGCUGUUAUUUUAUUUCCAUAGUUUGUAGUACAGCUUUGAAAUACUGAUUGUACGGUUAGUCAGUGAUCAGCAGAGGGCAUGUAUGGCUUAAAUUCUAAUCUCUUUGUAUUAUGAGAAAUUUAAGUUUUAAUUGGUACUGUAGUCGGACUGAAUAAGAUUUGAUGCUGAAACUGGACUCUAAUGUGAAUAGCUGUCCUGAACAAUGCCAAUGGCCUGUUUUUCAAAUCUUAGUCUCACAAAGGACUUCUUUAGUCAAAUAUACAAGAGAAAUUCUAACUGCAUUGCAAAUAAUUUGCAGACUUGUAUAGAAAUUCAACUUUUUGUCUUGCUUUCAUGAAGAUCCUUUCUAACAGAUUUUGAUUUUCUAUGAA
rnacentral:misc_RNA from 1 species